rnacentral:rRNA from 1 species
GUUUAUGGCCAUACCAUCCUAAACGUGUCUGAUCUUGUCUGGUCUCAGAAGCUAAGCAGGAUCAGGCCUGGUUAGUACUUUGAUAGAAGAUAGGCAAAUGUAUCAU